ensembl:lncRNA novel transcript
AAUCCAUGUAAGGAAUUCUGGAGAGGAAGGUGGCAGCAUUACUAAUCAGAUGUUUGACUGGGAAAUGUAAAGAGAUAGUCAUUACAUGGACAUCUGGAGAAAAAAACAGCACAUGGAAGUAUCAAGUGUUCUGGGGCCGCCCAGGCAGAGGAUAUUUGGCAAGGGAAAUAGGUCCACUGUACUGGGUUCAUUGCUUAACCGCUGGAAACAAGAGCUAGACUACCUGCUCGUGAUCCCAGGAGGCUAAUGGAACAGUGAUGUAUCGCGGUUCCUGCCUCGUGAAUUUGGAAGCAGGAUUCUGCUCCUAGGAAAAGAUGAGAAUAGAGCUCCAGUCUAUUCUUGCUGCAGUAAUUUGAAAAUUAUGGGACCAUCAAUCUGUUGUGAAUGCUGUCUACAGCAGAUCUUAUCUCUCAGAAUUAUCAAACUGAGCUGAUCCAAAGGCUUGACAUAAAUUACAUGUUAAACGUAUAACAUCUUCUCCUAUGGAUUUCUCCUGGGCAAGAAUGGCAUCUCGGUGCAGGACCCGCAGCACUUUCUCUGGCUCCGCAGACCCGUAAUGAGCCUCCAGAACCUCAGGCUUGGUUUUCUCUGUCUUCAGCAUGUGGAUCACAUCUUCUCUGGCCUGUAAUAGAAAGUGCAGCAAGAUCAGACGACUGACAAUGUAAAUCGCAUACUGGGCUCAAAAAAUCAACAGAGAGCUUAUUGAAUACAUCCCCAUC